CAAUAAGAGGAAUGAAGUGGGGCGCCUCUUUCUCCCACCCUCUCUCUGCCUCUACAUAACUCAGCAUCUCCCUCCCUCUUCCUCCUCUCUUGGUCUCUCUCUCGGUCGCCGAUCACAAGUUUCAGACCAUCCGCCAUGACACGACGGCUGUUGGGCAGUGACCGCACUCGAGCAGCGGCUUCGUAAGCAGGGGAAGGGCGCCGGAGACAGCAGCAGCGGCGUGCGUGCGUGCGUGUGGCUGCCGGAGCAGAGGCAGGGGCGGCUGUUUCGGGUAGCUCGGUGCUUACAAAGUACUCUUAAGAGCUAAGUAUUCGUCAUGAUUUACAUAAGGUCACCCUAAUUGCUCAAGAUAUUGUUGUCUCUAGCAUAAAAGGUUGAUAAGCAUGCUAAUUUGUUUGUAGAGCUUGACGUGAUUUCAUUUUCAAGGUUGGUUCCGUGAACAAGAGUAUUGACUAGGAGUACUAUGUUCAAAGUCUAAGUUGAGCAUAAAAUUUUCGAGAGAAUCUCGAUGCAUAAAUGUUGAUAAAUUGGAUUAAUUUUACUACAUGAUGAAAACCAAAUGUGAAGUAAAGCUUAGAAAAUCAAAUUAACUUAAGGAAAAAUAGGAAUGUAGUGUGUAGUGUGAAAUUAAUCUUAAAAGAGAAAAAGGAAAUGUGUAUUAUAUAAGCAGCUGAGCCCAACCCUAGCUAAUUUGCAAGGCCUGAUUACAGAAAGCCUACUCACACUUAGCCCAAUGGGCUGGAAACAACAUUAUCCUACUUGCUACGUCAUCUAAAGCCUUUCUAGGGUUUCCUCAAUGCAUUCACGCCCCUUAUAAUCCCUAAAUCACACCUCUCUGAGAUACACAAGUUUAUCGUCGUCACAUUUCAAUAUAGGUUUGCAAUUCCUUUCUUAUAAUCGUUUUAUUUCUCCAUUUUCACAACUAAUUUACAAUUUUUAAGAAGGAUCGAUGAUGCAUUAGUUUAAAACUGCGUUAUCUAUCUGAUAUUUCCAAUUCGGAAUUGAAGAUACUUUUCUAGCUCCUGAGAUCCUUUCUUUUUCUAUGUUAUUCUUCAUAUUUUUCGGAUUUGUUCAUUGUUGAAGAUGAGCAUCCGAGAUGAGAAAACAUUAAUGUCAUCCUUGCACUUUGAUUCAGAAAUGAAGAAAAUCAAUGGGGAAAUGAUACUCUGAGAUG